GAUGAACGCUGGCGGCGUGCCUAAUACAUGCAAGUCGAGCGAACAGACGAGGAGCUUGCUCCUCUGACGUUAGCGGCGGACGGGUGAGUAACACGUGGAUAACCUACCUAUAAGACUGGGAUAACUUCGGGAAACCGGAGCUAAUACCGGAUAACAUGUUGAACUGCAUGGUUCAACAGUGAAAGACGGUCUUGCUGUCACUUAUAGAUGGAUCCGCGCCGCAUUAGCUAGUUGGUAAGGUAACGGCUUACCAAGGCAACGAUGCGUAGCCGACCUGAGAGGGUGAUCGGCCACACUGGAACUGAGACACGGUCCAGACUCCUACGGGAGGCAGCAGUAGGGAAUCUUCCGCAAAGGGCGAAAGCCUGACGGAGCAACGCCGCGUGAGUGAAGAAGGUCUUCGGAUCGUAAAACUCUGUUAUUAGGGAAGAACAAAUGUGUAAGUAACUAUGCACGUCUUGACGGUACCUAAUCAGAAAGCCACGGCUAACUACGUG
rnacentral:rRNA from 1 species